rnacentral:lncRNA from 1 species
GUCAACGUCUACAUCAACCUCAACAAGCUCUGCCUCACGGUGUACCAGCUGCAUGCCCUGCAGCCCAACUCCACCAAGGUGAGGAGGGACCCCUGCCCGGCCCACUGCCCGCCAUGCACACGCCCUGCAAGGCCUGACGGGUCUGGUGCUGUUCUCCCUAGAACUUCCGCCCAGCUGGGGGCGCGGUGCUGCAUAGCCCUGGGGCCAUGUUGUAAGUAGGCAGGGGCGGGGGGUCCAGGCACGCCCACCCCAUCCCUCCACACCUGGAGGGCCGGGACCCUCCUCAGGGACCCUCUCACUGCCCACAGCGAGUGGGGCUCUCAGCGCCUGGAGGUGAGCCACGUGCACAAAGUGGAGUGCGUGAUCCCCUGGCUCAACGACGCCCUGGUCUACUUCACCGUCUCCCUGCAGCUCUGCCAGCAGCUCAAGGACAAGAUCUCCGUGUUCUCCAGCUACUGGAGCUACAGACCCUUCUGAUCACAGCACCCAGGAGCUUGUCUCCAGGAAGGCGGCCCCGUCCCCUACUCAUACCCACCACAGAGCACCAGCCAGUGCCAACGCCAGGCUGCUAUUUAUCUCCCUAUCCCACCCCCUACCCCACCUAACACAUUUGCACUGCCGGGAAUGGACACUGGAAGUGCCAGGAGGAAGGAAGGCUGGUUUGGUGGGGUAGUGGGGAGGUCAGGGAGGCGGGGCCAAGGGUGUCCCACAUUCCCAACACCGCCCUCUGAUCACCAUGGGAAUCUUUGGACUCAGGACAGGGCCAGGCGCAGGGCUCUCCCUCCUCUCCCCUUCGCUGUCCCCUCCCCCUGGAGGGCAUGGUGUCGGGGGGUGGCACUGAGCUAUGAGUCCCGGGGAUGGUGAGGAACGCCACAGACAGAGCCACCCUAGGAGUGAGUAUAGUGCUGGUGACUGUGUUUCAUAGCCCCAGUCCAGGGCUGUCUAAGAAAUAA